GACGAACGCUGGCGGCGUGCCUAAUACAUGCAAGUAGAACGCACAGUUUAUACCGUAGCUUGCUACACCAUAGACUGUGAGUUGCGAACGGGUGAGUAACGCGUAGGUAACCUGCCUGGUAGCGGGGGAUAACUAUUGGAAACGAUAGCUAAUACCGCAUAAUAUUAAUUAUUGCAUGAUAAUUAAUUGAAAGGUGCAAUUGCACCACUACCAGAUGGACCUGCGUUGUAUUAGCUGGUAGGUGAGGUAACGGCUCACCUAGGCGACGAUACAUAGCCGACCUGAGAGGGUGAUCGGCCACACUGGGACUGAGACACGGCCCAGACUCCUACGGGAGGCAGCAGUAGGGAAUCUUCGGCAAUGGACGAAAGUCUGACCGAGCAACGCCGCGUGAGUGAAGAAGGGUUUCGGAUCGUAAAGCUCUGUUGUAAGAGCAGAACGGGUGUGAGAGUGGAAAGUUCACACUGUGACGGUAUCUUACCAGAAAGGGACGGCUAACUACGUG
rnacentral:rRNA from 1 species